GCUUACGGCCAUACCACCCUGAGAACGCCCGAUCUCGUCUGAUCUCGGAAGCUAAGCAGGGUCAGGCCUGGUUAGUACUUGGAUGGGAGACCGCCUGGGAAUACCAGGUGCUGUAAGCC
rnacentral:rRNA from 1 species